CUCUGGGGGAACAAGGCAGGGAGCUGGAUGUCCUUAGGGAAAAAUCCUGGAGCUAAGGAGUGGGAGGGUAUCAGGUGGGUGUGAUUGUAACCUUUUUUUUUUUUUUCCUCUGGCCUGUGAUCCUGGGCAACAGAUCAUUUACUUGCUAAAAAAGGUCAAAUCUCUGCCCAAUUCUGGGCACAGAUUCAGCUCCCUGUCUCUUGAGGCCACCGGUUGGUUGUGUGGGGUUUCAGGGAUGCUUCUGAGGGCAAAGCAGGCCCCUCAUCCAGCUGGGGAGAGACGGAGACGUCAGUGAGGGAGGGCUAGAUCGUACCUGCAGCCCUGGGGAGUGAAGCCUUUCCAGGCACUGCUACCAGAGGGCUCAGGCCCCUCAAGCCCAGGACACCAGUAGCUGAGAAGGGAAGCGGAGGCCUGGCCAGCCCUGCUCCUCUGCUCCUCUGCUCCCCUGCAAAGUGGACAGAGCUCCUCCACUCCCUGCUGUGUGUUACCCUUUCUGAAAUCUUACUCCCAUCUCCAAAGCCUGCUUUUGGAUACCAGGUGUGUGUGCCGUCCCGGUCCUCUGUCCUCUGGGGAUGCGCCUUUCCCACGUGUGUCAGGUUCCCACUCUUUUGUGGCUCCUAACGUGAAGUGCCGUGAUGUUUCUGGCCUGUCUAAGGGAUGUAUCAAGAUUGCUCAGUGUUUCAGUGCUGGAGAUGAGGCUGUGCCACGUCUCUCACUGUCCUAAGGGGACACGCCGCUUCUGUGACUUCCCAGAGAGCUGGCAAAUUGUGACAGUCUCCAGGAGGAUCUACACAUUGGAAGCAGCCCACACCUGAUGUGGACUCGCUGACCUGGACUUGCUCUUCAUGCAGAAGACUGGUGGCCCAUGUACCAGGACCACCCUACCUCUCUCGCUGCCUUUUCUCCUGUCCUGACGGGGUUCUGGGAGGGGAACCUGUAGCUGAUGAGAGAAGAAUGAUGUGGGGAUCGAGCAGCCUUCAUCUUUGGGACCCUUCAAUAUCUCAGCCCCACUGUGGAACCCUCGCACGUUCACAAAGACUGUCACAAGCCCCCAUCCCUUCCUUGCUGUGGUUAGUAUCUUGUUCUGUGAUUGGUUAGCAAUGUUGACUACCCAUGUAGUGAAUAUUUUGUCUGCAAUUUAGAGAAUGUGUAAACAAAUAAAAGGCUUUAAACAUCUU